rnacentral:tRNA from 1 species
AAUAGCUCAGCGGUAGAGCAUCGCCUUGCCAAGGCGAGGGUCGCGGGUUCAAAUCCCGUUU